rnacentral:rRNA from 1 species
UACGAAGGGGGCUAGCGUUGCUCGGAAUCACUGGGCGUAAAGGGUGCGUAGGCGGGUCUUUAAGUCAGGGGUGAAAUCCUGGAGCUCAACUCCAGAACUGCCUUUGAUACUGAAGAUCUUGAGUUCGGGAGAGGUGAGUGGAACUGCGAGUGUAGAGGUGAAAUUCGUAGAUAUUCGGAAGAACACCAGUGGCGAAGGCGGCUCACUGGCCCGGUACUGACGCUUAAGAGCGAAAGCGUGGGGAGCAAACAGG